UCCAAGUUUCUGUGUUUUUUUCAUACUAGGUCGUUAACUAGAGUAUCUUAGCCUUCAUCUUUAACUCAAAUACUGCGGCCCUCAAGACUACCCCCAGGCUCAAUGACUUCCUAGAAGGCCCAUGAUUCAGCAAAGUGGUUAUGCUCACAACAACAGUUUAUUACGGCGAAAGCAUGCAGAUUGAACCCAGCAUAUGGAAGCAGUGCACAGGGUGGGCCCAGGAGAGUUCCAGUUGUCCUCUCCCGCUGGAGUCACAGGAAAUGAGAUCAGUGUAUUGAAGAGACAUCUGUACGCCCAAGUUCACUGCAGCACUAUUCACAGCAGCCAUGCCAUGGAAUCAACUCAAGUGUCCACCAGUGGAUGCAUGGAGAAAGAAAAUGUGGCAUCUGUAUACACACACGGGAGUAUUAUUCAGCCUUAAAGAGAAGGUAGGAUCCAGGUCGGCUAAGCAUGCUGGCUUCAACAGCAGGGAUGUGAGGUGAGGGAGGACAGCGAUGCAGGAGGAAUGGAGAUGCGUCUAACACGGGGUCAGACGGCAGAUUCGAGGGCUCCCUGAUGAAUGAGCAAACGCUGGCUCCAGCAUAUUUACUGCGUCACCUGUAAGUGCAUUCCUUGCUGUGCAAACUUGCUAAGUAUUUUUAGUAAGGCCAAAAGUUCCCCUAAGCACCGUAAUUAUCUCGGUUGGAGA